AAUGAACGCUGGCGGCAUGCCUUACACAUGCAAGUCGAACGGCAGCAUGACCUAGCUUGCUAGGUUGAUGGCGAGUGGCGAACGGGUGAGUAAUGCAUCGGAACGUGCCUUUUAGUGGGGGAUAACGUAGCGAAAGUUACGCUAAUACCGCAUAUUCUCUGAGGAGGAAAGCAGGGGACCUUCGGGCCUUGCGCUAGAAGAGCGGCCGAUGUCGGAUUAGCUAGUUGGUGAGGUAAAGGCUCACCAAGGCAACGAUCCGUAGCGGGUCUGAGAGGAUGAUCCGCCACACUGGGACUGAGACAAGGCCCAGACUCCUACGGGAGGCAGCAGUGGGGAAUUUUGGACAAUGGGCGCAAGCCUGAUCCAGCCAUGCCGCGUGAGUGAAGAAGGCCUUCGGGUUGAAAAGCUCUUUCGGCUGGGAAGAAAUCGCACCCUCUAAUACAGGGUGUGGAUGACGGUACCAGCAGAAGAAGCACCGGCUAACUACGUG
rnacentral:rRNA from 1 species